AGGAAUUUUUCGAUGGGCAGUAGUCCUGCGACAUAAUUUGACAACAUAUAAAAAGAAUUUCUAAUACCACAAUUCCCAUAUAUAGGUAUAAAUUUAGUUAAAAACCGAGGCAAUUAUAUAAAAAUAAUAAAUAAUAGAAUGGUAAGAUAAAUGUUUGACUAAUUUAGCUACUAAACUUAAAAUGUGUAAAUAUUACAAGUUUACAGCAUUGAUUCAUAAAAUAGUACAAAGACGAAAGAUUUGAUACAUAAAGUGAAGAGAUGUAAUAUCCCCACUCCUCUUCAUAAAUAAGUAAUAAUCCAAUCCUUGAAUCGUAGUGUCCUAUAAUAAUAAUGAUUUAUUCACUUUCAUUCUUGAUAGAGAUGCACUAAAAAUUAAAAUAGAGAAUAAUAUGUGUGGACACCAUGCUAAAAUGAGUGACAAAAACUAGGGAUUAUUCUAUAUUUCUGUUGCAGAUGGCUGUAAUUAACAUCAACAUGAGUAGUUUCAUUAGUGCUCUACGGAUCUACUCACAAAUUCAGAGGGGACCAGGAGGGCAGGUCGGCAGGAAAGGAGGCCGAGAGGGGCCUAGAGAGCGGCGACCAGGAGGAUGCGGCUGCAACGACCCGAGGUGGUCAGGCGGCCGGGCAGUGGCGCAGCCGCAGCUGAAGCGCAGGCGAGGAGGCGGGCAUCCGAGCAACCCGGCGAGGCGCUGAGGUCCAGCCGACGUUCGUUCUGUUAUCUGAACAUCUCAAGUAGUGGAGUGUAGGUGUUAAAAACUUAAAAAUGUUGUCUCAACACCGACACAAGUAAAUAUCACAAGGAUCG
rnacentral:lncRNA from 1 species